AACUUUUUUUUAAUAAGGUUAUUCCAUUUUUUUUGGAGAUGCAUAUGCUUAUUUUCACUGUAUUACCUCUGUAUAGGUGUCAAGCUGCCCAAAUACCCCACUGCACCAAAAAAGCUGUGGUCCAUUCAAGCCUCUGAAGAUGAAGCCAGGUCUGUGGAGCGUGCGGACAGUUCUCAGGGCAGUGAAAUGUCCACUCCUUGCCCUCAAACUGCAAGCACAGCACCUCGGUGUGGAGAUCUGUCGACACCUAGAUCUCGACAUGCAGCAGGAGGUUGUCCCAUGGAUGGCUAUCGCUCUAGGUCCAGAGGUAGGUCCAGCAGAGGAU